rnacentral:rRNA from 1 species
UACGUAGGGUGCGAGCGUUAAUCGGAAUUACUGGGCGUAAAGCGUGCGUAGACGGUUAUUUAAGUCGGGUGUGAAAGCCCCGGGCUCAACCUGGGAACUGCAUUUGUGACUGCAUGGCUAGAGUGCGGCAGAGGGGGAUGGAAUUCCGCGUGUAGCAGUGAAAUGCGUAGAUAUGCGGAGGAACACCGAUGGCGAAGGCAAUCCCCUGGGCCUGCACUGACGCUCAUGCACGAAAGCGUGGGGAGCAAACAGG